rnacentral:rRNA from 1 species
GCCGCGAAUUCGCCCUUAGGGUUUGAUUAUGGCUCAGGACGAACGCUGGCGGCGUGCCUAAUACAUGCAAGUCGAACGCUUCUUUUCCCACCGGAGCUUGCUCCACCGGGAAAAGAGGAGUGGCGAACGGGUGAGUAACACGUGGGUAACCUGCCCAUCAGAAGGGGAUAACACUUGGAAACAGGUGCUAAUACCGUAUAACAAUCGAAACCGCAUGGUUUCGGUUUGAAAGGCGCUUUACGGUGCCGCUGAUGGAUGGACCCGCGGUGCAUUAGCUAGUUGGUGAGGUAACGGCUCACCAAGGCCACGAUGCAUAGCCGACCUGAGAGGGUGAUCGGCCACAUUGGGACUGAGACACGGCCCAAACUCCUACGGGAGGCAGCAGUAGGGAAUCUUCGGCAAUGGACGAAAGUCUGACCGAGCAACGCCGCGUGAGUGAAGAAGGUUUUCGGAUCGUAAAACUCUGUUGUUAGAGAAGAACAAGGGUGAGAGUAACUGUUCACCCCUUGACGGUAUCUAACCAGAAAGCCACGGCUGACUACGUGGCCAG